GUUUCACCCUAGGUCUCUGUGUAGGGAGUAGGGAGCUGUUUCACCCUAGGUCUCUGUGUAGGGAGUAGGGAGGUGUUUCACCCUAGGUCUCUGUGUAGGGAGUAGGGAGCUGUUUCACCCUAGGUCUCUGUGUAGGGAGUAGGGAGCUGUUUCACCCUAGGUCUCUGUGUAGGGAGUAGGGAGCUGUUUCACCCUAGGUCUCUGUGUAGGGAGUAGGGAGCUGUUUCACCCUAGGUCUCUGUGUAGGGAGUAGGGAGCUGUUUCACCCUAGGUCUCUGUGUAGGGAGUAGGGAGCUGUUUCACCCUAGGUCUCUGUGUAGGGAGUAGGGAGCUGUUUCACCCUAGGUCUCUGUGUAGGGAGUAGGGAGCUGUUUCACCCUAGGUCUCUGUGUAGGGAGUAGGGAGGUGUUUCACCCUAGGUCUCUGUGUAGGGAGUAGGGAGCUGUUUCACCCUAGGUCUCUGUGUAGGGAGUAGGGAGGUGUUUCACCCUAGGUCUCUGUGUAGGGACUAGGGAGGUGUUUCACCCUAGGUCUCUGUGUAGGGAGUAGGGAGGUGUUUCACCCUAGGUCUCUGUGUAGGGACUAGGGAGCUGUUUCACCCUAGGUCUCUGUGUAGGGAGCUGUUUCACCCUAGGUCUCUGUGUAGGGAGUAGGGAGUGUUUCACCCUAGGUCUCUGUGUAGGGAUGUGUUUCACCCUAGGUCUCUGUGUAGGGAGUAGGGAGGUGUUUCACCCUAGGUCUCUGUGUAGAGAAUAGGGAGCUGUUUCACCCUAGGUCUCUGUGUAGGGAGCUGUUUCACCCUCGGUCUCUGUGUAGGGAGCCGUUUCACCCUAGGUCUCUGUGUAGGGAGUAGGGAGCCGUUUCACCCUAGGUCUCUGUGUAGGGAGUAAGGAGCUGUUUCACCCUAGGUCUCUGUGUAGGGAGUAGGGAGCUGUUUCACCCUAGGUCUCUGUGUAGGGAGUAGGAGCCGUUUCACCCUAGGUCUCUGUGUAGGGAGCCGUUUCACCCUAGGUCUCUGUGUAGGGAGCCGUUUCACCCUAGGUCUCUGUGUAGGGAGCCGUUUCACCCUAGGUCUCUGUGUAGGGAGCCGUUUCACCCUAGGUCUCUGUGUAGGGAGCCGUUUCACCCUAGGUCUCUGUGUAGGGUGCUGUUUCACCCUAGGUCUCUGUGUAGGGAGUAGGGAGCCGUUUCACCCUAGGUCUCUGUGUAGGGAGUAGGGAGCCGUUUCACCCUAGGUCUCUGUGUAGGGAGCUGUUUCACCCUAGGUCUCUGUGUAGGGACUAGGGAGGUGUUUCACCCUCGGUCUCUGUGUAGGGAGUAGGGAGCCGUUUCACCCUAGGUCUCUGUUGAGGAAAACGUCAUUUGAAUCAUCAGUACGGUAAGGGGAUCUUGUUAUAGUGAAACAGACGGAAACGGCCCGGACAAAAUAAAUAACAACAACAAAACAUUGCAAAUGAAGUUUUUUGAAAUAAAUGAUCGUCUGGCUAAGCCAAACAUUCUACGACAUAAUGUUUUCCUCUUUUUCAUGAAUUCUAAAACUUUGUAUGUUUUAUUGUCAACAGGAAUGAGUAUUAAUGUAAUUAUUAUUAUUAUUAUGAUUAUUGUCAUGGCUAUUACUAAUAUUAGUGGCAGGCCACUGGGUAACAUUGUAUGUUGAUAUCCAAAUGAUAAUGAUGAAAUGUUUAUGAGUUUUAAAAACAAAUAAAAAGAUAAGACCA